GUAACAAGGUCUCCGUUGGUGAACCAGCGGAGGGAUCAUUACUGAGUUACGCUCUAUAACCCUUUGUGAACAUACCUAUAACUGUUGCUUCGGCGGGUAGGGUCUCCGCGACCCUCCCGGCCUCCCGCCUCCGGGCGGGUCGGCGCCCGCCGGAGGAUAACCAAACUCUGAUUUAACGACGUUUCUUCUGAGUGGUACAAGCAGAUAAUCAAAACUUUUAACAACGGAUCUCUUGGUUCUGGCAUCGAUGAAGAACGCAGCGAAAUGCGAUAAGUAAUGUGAAUUGCAGAAUUCAGUGAAUCAUCGAAUCUUUGAACGCACAUUGCGCCCGCCAGCAUUCUGGCGGGCAUGCCUGUUCGAGCGUCAUUUCAACCCUCAAGCUCUGCUUGGUGUUGGGGCCCUACAGCUGAUGUAGGCCCUCAAAGGUAGUGGCGGACCCUCCCGGAGCCUCCUUUGCGUAGUAACUUUACGUCUCGCACUGGGAUCCGGAGGGACUCUUGCCGUAAAACCCCCCAAUUUUCCAAAGGUUGACCUCGGAUCAGGUAGGAAUACCCGCUGAACUUAAGCAUAUCAAUAAGCGGAGGA
rnacentral:rRNA from 1 species